GUCAAAAACAAAAAAGGCCCAAAACGGAUACCUAAGCAUUCAAAGCCGAAUAAGGGCGUGAUAACCGACGAAACGCUUCGAGGAGCUGGAAGUAAGCAAUGAAUCGAAGGUCCCCGAAUAGAGCAAUCUUAUAAAACUUUCUGACUAAUUCAUAAUCAGAAAAGAGAUAACCCGGUGAACUGAAACAUCUUAUUAACCGGAGGAAAAGAAAGCAAACGCGAUUUCCUGAGUAGUGGCGAACGAAACGGAAUUAGCCCAAACCGUAUAAUUUAUACGGGGUUGCGGGAUGUUGUAUUAUUGGCUUCACCGAAACAGCUGAAACCUGUACCAAAGAUGGUGAAAGUCCAGUCGAAAAGCCAAAAACGACAAAUCCCAAGUAGCGCCGGACACGAGAAAUCCGGCGUGAAUCCGCGAGGACCACCUCGCAAGGCUAAAUACUCUUGAAUGACUGAUAGCGUAAAAGUACCGUGAGGGAAAGGUGAAAUAGAACCCCCGAAGGGGAGUGAAAUAGAACAUGAAAUUUUGGGCUUUCAAACGGUGGGAGGAGAUAAUCUUUGACCACGUGCCUGUUGAAGAAUGAGCCGGCGACUCGUAUUUGAUGGCGGGGUUAAAAAGAUACUUUGGAGCCUCAGCGAAAGCAAGUUUUAAACGAGCAUAAAGUCAUCAAGUGCGGACCCGAACCCGAGUGAUCUAACCAUGGCCAGGAAGAAGCUUGGUUAAAACUCAGUGAAAGUCCGAACCGACCGAUGUUGAAAAAUCGGCGGAUGAGCUGUGGUUAGGGGUGAAAUGCCAAUCGAACUCGGAGCUAGCUGGUUCUCCCCGAAAUGUGUUGAGGCGCAGCGCUUGAAAACGGACCACAGAGGGGUAAAGCACUGUUUCGGUGCGGGCCGUGAAAACGGUACCAAAUCGUCGCAAACUCAGAAUACUCUGUGAUGUUUUCUUUCAAGCAGUGAGACCGUGGGGGAUAAGCUCCAUAGUCAAGAGGGAAACAGCCCAGAUCACCAGCUAAGGCCCCUAAAUGAUCGCUAAGUGUAAAAGGAGGUGCGAAUGCAGAGACAACCAGAAGGUUUGCUUAGAAGCAGCCACCCUUAAAAGAGUGCGUAACAGCUCACUGGUAUAGCGUUUGUGCGCCAAAAAUGUCCGGGACUAAGUGAUCUGCCGAAGCUGUGGGUUUGAAAAAAACGGUAGGGGAGCGUUCCGCGGGGGGUGAAGCAGAGCUGUGAAGCUUUGUGGACCGCGCAGAAGCGAGAAUGUUGGCUUGAGUAACGCAAACAUUGGUGAGAAUCCAAUGCCCCGAAAACCCAAGGGUUCCUUCACUAGGCUCGUCCGUGGAGGGUGAGUCAGACCCUAAGACCAGGCCGAAAGGCGUUGUCGAUGGAAAACAGGUUAAUAUUCCUGUACUAUAGUGAAUUCUGCAACGGGGGACGAAGUGGGCUAAACCAAUCGGGUUUUGGUUCCCGAUGUAAGCAGCUAAAGCUCUGAAAAUGAGAAGAAAAACUCAUUGAAUGCAAAGGCGCGAUGCGGCGAAGCAGUUUCCGAUUUUCGGAAUACUUUUUCGUUUGGCUUAGGUCGUACUUCCAAGAAAAGCCCGGAGUGCAAAUGAACUCACUAUAUCUGUACCCAAAACCGACACAGGUGGGUAGGUAGAAAAUACUCAGGGGCGCGAGAUAACUCUCUCCAAGGAACUCGGCAAAAUGGCCCCGUAACUUCGGGAGAAGGGGUGCCUUCAAUUGGAGGUCGCAGUGAAUUGACCCAGGCGACUGUUUACCAAAAACACAGGUCUCCGCAAAGUCGCAAGACGAUAUAUGGGGGCUGACGCCUGCCCAGUGCCGGAAGGUGAAGGAAGCUGGUUAGCUUAGCAAAGCUAGCAACCGAAGCCCCGGUGAACGGCGGCCGUAACUCUAAUGACGACGGUCCUAAGGUAGCGAAAUUCCUUGCCAGGUAAGUUCUGGCCCGCACGAAAGGCGUAACGAUCUGGGUACUGUCUCGGAGAGAGACUCGGUGAAAUAGACGUGUCCGUGAAGAUGCGGACUUCUUGCACCUGGACAGAAAGACCCUAUGAAGCUUGACUGUAUCUUGACAUUGAACUCGGGCUUUUCUUGCGCAGCCUAGGUGGGAGGCUAUGAAGAUCUUUUUUCGGAAAGGUUGGAGCCAUUAGUGAGAGACCACCCUUGAAAAACUAGAGUUCUAACAGCGAUCCAAGAAUCAGGACGCUGGACACUUUCAGGUGGGCAGUUUUUUUGGGGCGAAAACCUCCUAAAGAGUAACGGAGGUUCACAAAGGUUUUCUCAAACUGGCCGGAAAUCAGUUGUAGAGUGUAAAGGCACAAGGAAGCUUAACUGCAAGACGGACCUGUCGAGCAGGGGCGAAAGCCGGUCUUAGUGAUCCGACGGUACCGCGUGGAAGGGCCGUCGCCAAAAGGAUAAAAGUUACUCUAGGGAUAACAGGCUGAUCUUCCCCAAGAGUCCACAUCGACGGGAAGGUUUGGCACCUCGAUGUCGGCUCAUCGCAACCUGGGGCGGUAGUACGUCCCAAGGGUUGGGCUGUUCGCCCAUUAAAGCGGUACGUGAGCUGGGUUCAGAACGUCGUGAGACAGUUUGGUCCAUAUCCGGUGUAAGCGCUAGAGCAUUGAGAGGAUCUUUCCAUAAUACGAGAGGACUUGGAAGGACACACCUCUGGUGUACCAGUUCUUGCGCCCGCAGGAAACGCUGGGUAGCUAUGUGUGGAGCGGAUAACUGCUGAAAGCAUCUAAGUAGGAAGCCCACCUCAAGAUGAUUGCUCUCUUUGGAUCUCGGUGAGACGAACCGUUUGAUAGGUGUCAAGUGUAAGACUAGUAAUAGUUUCAGCUGAGACAUACUAAUCGAUCCAUUGAAUUU
rnacentral:rRNA from 1 species